ensembl:lincRNA
CUCCAAUCACACAGCCGAAGAAGUAUCUUCACCAGACCAUUCUCUUCUUUCCCAACACUGAUAAAGCCAUUUGAAUGCCAAACCUGGCAGAUACCAUACAGCUGUUGAAAAGUAUCUGUCAACAAAACUAUUACUGUCUUUCCUGGGAUCAACACUAUGUCCUGGACCCUCAAGGUCAGCAGAGCCGCCUUACGAACAAGGGCAGGCGAAAAGCGGAACGCUCACAAGACCAGUGAAACCCAAGCAAUGCUGGCAGGUGGAGGGCCUUCCCCAACUGCUGCAAAUUCUAAAGGAAAAGGCAUUCAUCUAGUCACUAAGAAAUAAGGCAGGUGACCAACAUUUUCUCACUUCGGG